rnacentral:lncRNA from 1 species
UGUUUGGACAGGUAUAGCUUUGUGUGUGAGUGUUCAGUGUUUGGGACCAGUUAUCGCUGUGUAGAGUGUUUCAGUGUUUGGGACAGUUAUAGCUGUGUAGAGUGUUCAUGUGUUUGGGACAGGUAUAGCUUGUGUAGAGUGUUAGUUCAGGUUUGGGACAGGUAUAGCUGUGUAGAGUGUUCAGUGUUUGGGACAGGUUAUAGCUGUGUAGAGUUUCAGUGUUGGGGACGGGUAUAGCUUGCUGAGCUGUAGAGUGUUCAGUGUUUGGGGACAGUAUACAUGUUGUAGAGUGUUCAGUGUUUGGGACAGGUUA